UGACCGCUGACAGAAUGCUUAACACAUGCAAGUCAACUUGAAUUUGGGUUUUUAACUUAGGUUUGGGUGGCGGACGGGUGAGUAACGCGUAAAGAACUUGCCUCACAGCUAGGGACAACAUUUGGAAACGAAUGCUAAUACCUAAUAUUAUGAUAAUAGGGCAUCCUAUAAUUAUGAAAGCUAUAAGCGCUGUGAGAGAGCUUUGCGUCCCAUUAGCUAGUUGGAGAGGUAACGGCUCACCAAGGCGAUGAUGGGUAGCCGGCCUGAGAGGGUGAUCGGCCACAAGGGGACUGAGACACGGCCCUUACUCCUACGGGAGGCAGCAGUGGGGAAUAUUGGACAAUGGACCGAGAGUCUGAUCCAGCAAUUCUGUGUGCACGAUGAAGUUUUUCGGAAUGUAAAGUGCUUUCAGUUGGGAAGAAACAAAUGACGGUACCAACAGAAGAAGAGACGGCUAAAUACGUG
rnacentral:rRNA from 1 species